CCACAAUCCCCUGCCUCCCACAAUCCCCUGUGCUUCCCACAAUGCCCUGUGCCCACGAUUAGAGGAUAAUGUCUCCAAAGUACCACCUUGGGUCCGCUGGUCCCCCUUGGCUGGCUGAAUUACGCCGUUUGCCUCAGCCUGGCCACCAAGGAACGCUUGGACCGGAGCUUGUGAAUCACAGGCCCUGGCCUCAGCCCAGAGCCUUUAUGAAGCCUCCCUCCCACGGCUGGCUGGCGGGGGCUCCGUCUGAGACCCCUGCCUGACCCCUGAGUCCCAGCUCCACCAUUCCCUGAGGGGAUGAAGCGCACAUUGUCUCAAACACAGAGUUAGUUAGGAAGCGGUCCCAAAGCCCUGAAUCUCCCAUUCCCCCCCGAGCUCCUUGAGGCCUUGCCCGUGUCUGAUGCGAGCAGUCGGCAGCAGUCCCUCUCUUGUCGCAGCAGGCCAGUGCCUGGCCCAGGGCGGACGCUUAGGAUAAAAAUCUCUGAUGAUGGGAGGAGAAAGUGCCAUGAGAAUUCCUUGAAAGUCACCAAGGUUGACCGUGAGUAACUGAAACGGCGGAAAGUGAACCCGCGGAUAAGGUGGGACCACCGUAUAGCCAAGCACAUACUGGAAAAAUACGAAUGAGUAUGGAAGGCCGCACGACCUCAUCUGGUUUCAGAGCAAAUGACAAGCAAAUAUUCUCAGCUUUGCUACACAGAGAGGAAAUGAAAGUCUCAGAAAGCGUCUGGUCCAAAGGCAAAAAUCCGCAUGGCAAAGAAUCCGAAAUGAGAGACCCAGUAUUCCCAGUUCCCAAACUUCCAUCUCCUUCCUGGCAAAAGUUUGGCAUUCUUCAUUGGAAGUGAUCACUUUUUUUCCCAUUUCAAAAAGCCUGCAGCUCAUGACAGGAAGAUGAGGAAACCACAGUCAGUCACCCAAGGGGGCGGGGCCAGCUUCCAGCUGCAACCAGUGGAAAGUUACCUGAUUUUGUUUUUCACUGUCUGGGAAGCCCAGUUUCGCAGCCUGUAUCUGAGUACAAACAUCAGGGAUUCAGACAUUCCAAGCUGAUCUUCUACCUUGCAGGCUUCAAAUCCAUCUUAUCUUAAAAGAAUGCAUCCCCUUUUAUCUACUUUUUUUUAAAAAAAGGUCAAUUUUAAAGGCAGCUGAGGGAGGGGUUGUGUAAUUUGCUGGAAGAAGUUUGUUAAAGGAUUAUAAAUAGGACAAGAUUUAUCCUCUCUCUGAAAUUCAGAAUCCUUGCAAGUACCCUGGCUGAGAACUUAAAGGAAAUCGUCUGAAAGUCGAACAUUUGUCUUCAUCACGGUUUUCCAAACGAAGGGAAAAACUCAGCCAAAACGCAUCAACUUUCAGAGACCAAGAGAAGCUGAUGAACGUGACCCGGAUGUUCCCGUGGUGAGGCCUGGGAGUGGGAGGGAUUGUCCUGCCAUUUCAAAGAAUAUCUACCUGGGGAUUUCUAGGGAUUCUGUUUCACUUUAAAGGAGAAAAACGUACAGUAAUUCUUUAAAGAAAUAUGAUUGGUGUAACCAGGUGAAGCAACUUAAAAAAUACAAAGCAAGUUACCCCAGGCAGUGCCAGUAACGCGACCUUUAAAAAAGUCUCAUUGACCCCUUCUCCUCUGAACAAGCUUGGAGCACACAGAGCAUUCGCGAUUUCCACAGGGCCCCCCAGAAUGUGUUUCCCAUUUUAGGAUGAACAUUGGGCUUUUACCAUAUGAAUGUGUCAGCCUUUGGAAGGCCACGCUUGGCCAGUCCCUUAGCCCUCCUGGGAAGACCUGGUCUUUUCCAGGGAGGAGUUUGCAGGGUGACCUCAGGUGGCCUGAGGCAACCAGGGGAGGGGUCCCCCACAGGCACUUGGGGAGCAGUAGCAGGAGCAAAGAGCAGCGGCAACUCUUUGGGCUCAUUUCUUGAGAUCAGUUCUUGGGAAACAAAAAGAAAAGGCCACAGCGUAUUUUGCUUUCCCCUUUCACCUGAAAAGAAGUACCAUAACCCCAGUAAGUAUAGAGCAGAAUGGCGUGAGCUGCUAGUUAAGGCUGCCUAUCUCCUCAGAUCACCGUGAGCUUUGACCUGGAUCACCAGACCUCACUUCAGAUUGUGUUUAUUACUCGAGAGUAACAAAUAGCUUCCUUUCAAAGCUUAAGAAAGCAAAGUGACCUAGUGGCCUGAGGAGGAAAAGAAAUGACCAGAGACACUACAAGUAACAGCAGCUAACAGGCUCCAUUUAGGACCAGGGGCAGCCUCUGAUGGUUGUUUAUGUCACUGCUUUGUAUCUGUCUUUCCUACCGGAUAGUAAACUCCUUUUUAUCUUCUCACCCUUGCAUUUUGCGAGCUUAGCAGAUAAGGAGGAGCCUAAUAAAUAAUUGUUGGUGUGAACAAAUAAACAGAUUGUAAUUACAUCAGUAGUUGGAGAGAUCAGUGCAGCACAGAUCAGUUCGAGAGGAGAAGGAGAUUGGCUUCAAAUAUUGGUCAAGAGCCCUAAGGAGGAUGAGCCAAGGAUAUAUUUAAUUUAAUAGGUUCACAUGACCAGGUGACUCUUCUGGGUCUAGAAAUGUGAGGAGGUGACAAUGUAAUAAACUAUACAGUCUUUCUGUAAGGAAAAAGUUAAGCAAAUUUAAACCUGGGUUUCUGAGGGGAAUAAUGUAUUCACCAGGUGCAACUGCCUGCUCCACCCCCUUGGCCUCCAUUUCUGUGCGGCUGCACCCCCACGCAGCAGAGGGGGGAUGUGGGCUCUCCAGUGGUGCUUGGUGUGCUUGACCAAAGGUGACGAUGACUUAGUGGGCUAAGGUCAUGCCCUCCCUCCCUCCAAAUCGAUAAUUUAAUGUGACUUAUCAGAAAGAGAAAGAACUGUUUACUUUAAAACCCUGGAUCCCAUAAAGGGAGAGCGAAAAGGCCUAAAAACCACAGAAGCUCAGGACUUGCGCCCAUGGCCGCCUGCACAGCCAGCAGAAAUAGGGGGAGCGGAAGGCCCCACCCCACAGGCCAGAGAAGGGCCCUGGGCCGAGAGAAGACAAGAGCUGCCCAGAAGAUUAUGGAAAGCCCGAAGCACACAGAGCCCACCUGGAGAAGUGGAGGGGUGCUCAGACGCUGCCCGCAGGUGCUGAGAGUGAAGUGGGCCCAAGCCCUGGCCUGGUAGGGUGCUCUCCAAGCAUCCUACCAGGAUCUUUUUAACUAGUGAAUUGUUCUCUCAUCGAUUUUUCCCAACUCAGGUUGAUAUUUCUGGAGCCUGUUGUCAUGGUCAGCAAUAUCCCUUGAGUGACCAGGAAGUGGGAGUUUCUGCUCUAGGUCCCUCAGGCAAAGACAGAGAUGAGCCCAGCUAACUUGUUAGGAGGAACAGCAGGGAAGGAAGGAACCAGAGAUAGUUAAUCACACAAGUACGUCCACAAUGGCUGGGCCGGUGUGCUAAGGGUUUGUGGUAGCGACUGGGGCCAGUGGAACUCUAGAGUUUGGAUUCGGUGUGACGAGGUCCACCUGAGGAGAGCAGGUCUAACAGUGGGCUAUGCGGCACCUCCCUGCCGCCUUGCAAAUGACUGCACCCUGUAAGGGCAGGCCAGGGUCACAGACAGGAACCCAAUGAAGCCAGUCAUUUAGUAGGAAGAUAAGCAAAUUAACACAGUCAAAAAGGAAAGAAAAAAAGGCAGGGUUCAACACCCCAGUCCCCUGGAGGCUGAGGGACUCUUGUGGUGUGCUAACAACUACACAGUCUCAGUUGAAGAGGGCAAUUUUACGGUCCACAUGUGAAUAAGGGACAUUUUUACUGAAAGAUGCACAAGGGUUCAUUUCCAGUUCUUAAGAAAGAGCCAGUUUUUUGGCCAAAUCAAGGCUCUGGUCAAAUGUUAACAACUCAGUUAUCCUGGGGAAAAAAUAAGCUGGCCCCCAACCCUCUCCUUUGCUAGCAUUUGGGGGCAAAUAAAGGAUUAGGUAAGAUGCUUUAUUUCCUCUCAUUCUCUAUGUGGGCAAGAGUUCAUGUAUCGGUUAGCAACCAUUUUUAACGGGAAAUCCAAUAAACCAGAAGGGAUUUAUUCACAGGAGGCUUCCUUUUGCUGGAAAAUCAGUAUUAUUAAUGAAAAAUGGAAUAGUUCUUCGGUCUCCAUGUUCCUCUUUUCCUCACCUCGUCUCUUCUCCCACCCACUACCAUGGAGGGAAAUGACUGCUGAAUAGGAUUUAAAAUCUGAGCACCAUCGGAUGCCCUUGUAUCCAAUAGAUGUUACUGUGAGUAGAUUACAGCACAGCUAAAUGCUACAUCCCCUUGCAAAACAAUUUUAAUUUUCUUAGACUGCAGAAUUUACCGCAUCUGCUCAUGAUGGAUUGGGAUAUAUGGUGAGGGAAGCAAUGGGGAGGAGCCAUUAAUCCAGUCAUUUUAUUAUGACAUAUAAUGUGGUUUUCCACUAAGUCUUUGUUUCCUAGAAUCAGUUCCCUCUAGGGAUUCUUUCCCAUUUAGCCCUUUUAGAAAAUCGAUGCAAACAGAUUUCCCAUCCAUUUCCAUAGGAAGUGUUUGUUUCUGUUGGUGGGAGGCCUCCGUGGGGUGGCAAUGGGUCCCUUUAUUAGCUCGACUGUUCCAGAACACAGAAGCCUGACAUCUUUAUAUUUCCUUUGCUCAAGAUGCUCCCCACCAUUGAUCCCUCUUUUCUCUGCUCAGGUCACUCUGUGGAGCUGGUGAGGUUCCCGGAUGAUGAUCAGUGGCUGUGGUGGAAAGUGGAGGUGAAGUUAACACCUUCACGGCUACAGAUUUUCCUUAGCAGAGCUGUGGAGUGUGACAAUGGUGUUUGUGUCCAAACUAUCAAACGCCAUUAUCACACUAAAUAGCUACUGUUAGGCAAUCCUUCCACUCAGUGAAGGCCUUGGCAUCUGUUAGGUUUGGGCAAGAAGGCUCAUCUUGUAGCAGUGCUCUCAAUCAUGUGUAAUUACUGAAUAAAUUCCGGUCCUUUUGUGCUCAUAACCAAUAUGUCAUCUGAACUUUGCCUCUCACAUGCCAUUGUUAAAUACUUUAGCCGAUGAUGAAUUGUCUUGUUUUCCUGAGUCAAUAGAAAGAUUGCCGUGUUCCCCAGAGCACCCAGCAGAAGGCUAGGCACAUAGGAAUUGUUCAACCCAUGCUUAUUGAGUUGAAAUGAAUAGUUAGGAAAAUGUUAGAUGCCAAAAACUAAAACUGGAUUAAAGCUAGGUUGUGAAAACCACAGGCUUAUGGAUGCAAAAUUAAGGUUUGUCGGUCCUUCACGUUGCAUCAUAAAAAACAACUUUCUGAUAACUUACACAUGUCUCUUAACUGACCUUUCAGAAAUUCUAGAACAUGUGUGAUUUCUACUGAUUUUAAUCAAUUGCCAGGCUGAUUACUGAAUUUGUGUGCUGGAUUCUUAUUCCUUAUGUUUCGAUGAAUCACCAUCAGGAAAUUAUACACGAACUAUGUGUGCGUUGCCAUGGCAAACCUGAACAUUUUAAACCCAUGCAGCUUCUGGGACAAUUGGACCAGCUGGGUGGUCUGGUUUGAAACACAUCCUUUCUCUGACAGGCAUGUAAAGUAAGGAGUAGAUUCUGUUUGUGCUGGGCUAAAGCUGUUCUCCUCUGACUUGGCGAAGUGAACUGGUACAUGUGUAAUCAAAUUGAAGGGUUGGAGCAACCAUCAGAAACAGGUUCAUUCAAUCAUCCAUUUGCCAAAUAAAUAUGUGUAUUCAGUGGCUGCCAUGUGUCUGGUACUGCCCUGGGCACUCGGGAUACUCGUAAAUUAAAUGUGUCUGACAUAAUUUCCAGACAUGGGCGUUCACUGGCUCGCAUUCUGUUUGGGACCAUUCUAAAUGUUCUAAAUUAUGUUUACCAGGGAACCAAAUGAGCAAAACUUUGCAAAAUAAUUCCAAGCCCCUUGCUGGAAAGCACCAGGUGAGUGUAGUCCACACAUCUAUGAUACACUGCAAAGGUUCCGAGGUCCUGAGAAGCUUCCAUCCAAAGAAGAGGAAGUCCAUUCCUUCCUGCCCUUCCUCUCCUUCCACCUCCCAUUCCUUCCCUCCUGGCAUCAUCCACUCUCAAGAGGAGAACCAGACCCCCUAAAAUAAUUAAUGCACUGACAUUCCUUUUUUUUUUGCUUUUCUGGAGAAAGCACUGAUUGAACAAGCAUUGGUAGAGGGCUCUACUGUUACACAAAUCUCUCCUGUGCACGUUAUUUCCUUUGAUCUGUGCAAGAAAGGGCAAAGAUGACAGAUUUGGGCGCUUUCCACAGACAGCAAACUGAGACCGAGAGUGGUUCUGGAAUCGGCUGGUCAUGCAACCACUACUCAACUUGGGUCUCCUAAAUCUAAAGUUCUCUCUUUUACUUAUAGCCUUCCUUGGCCUAGUGUUUCCACAAAACCUCAUGCUUCACAGCUGAGGCUAUGUAGAAGUUGGGUUUCUGAGGGAAAGUCUGCAGGAUAAGAGAGAGAUAAGCCAUAUGACCAUCUUUCCUUGUGAGUGUUCCACAAUGCAGAGAAAGACAAAUACUGUGAAACACCAUCAUCAUGAAGUGAAGGGAAGGGAAGGAACAGCAAAGUGGUAGUUUUGGGGUCAGGAAGGGGGUGGCCAAACUGUCCAGACAUGGACCAGCCAACUUAGCGCCCCAGCCAACUGACGUGGCCCUCACUGACCCAGAGCCUGCAGGCUCCCAACCCUUCUCAGGCUCACGGACAAUGUGAGCACAGCCUCAGGCACAAUUCCUCCUCUCUCCCACCACCCUGAGACUUUCCUCAGAUGGAAUGAAACAGGCAGCAAAAGGAAGGGCAUUCUACAUCUUUUCUACUAGGUUGGCUCCCGUAGCGGCUUAUUAUGAUUCCUGUCUGGGUUAGUUCUGCAUCCAGGCUUGGGGACCUGUUUUUUCCAUAGAUCUCUAAGGAGCACACGUGGAAGGCAAGGCUUCCACUCCCCCAUCUUAAAGCCAUAUCUGACCCUGUCCUGCUGCUCCAACUCUCUGAUCACAGCAUCCUUCCCCAGCCUAGCUUUCAUCCCCUCCCUGGCCCAUCCCACUGGGAUGAUCACUGCCAGUCUUCCCCAAUAGAGCACUAUUCCUGGGGAUGCUUACUGCCUCCAAACGUAGUUUGCCAGCUGGAGGGGCCACUUGGAAGUGCAGUUAAAAUCGCACUGGAGCGGGGGAGGCGGCAGAGCCCCCGGGCAGCCACACUGAGAUGUUUUCUUCCCCUGGAGACAGGCGUUACUUUGCUUCGUGAAUCAUGCCGGUGAGGUCCUGUGACUCCUUCGUCUUAGUACAAUGUGCAUGUCGAACGUGACAAUAGCCAGUAGGGCCUGUCCCAUGUUCCAGCCAACCCCAGAGGAGGUUUUGUGAAACAGCACAGCAGUAUCACAUGUAGAAGGCUCAUCUACACAGUUUUAUGAACUCUUCUUAAAUCUAUGUUUUCCACUUGGUAUACUUCCAUGAAUCCAAAGAUAAUGUUAGAACUGGAACCCAGUUUACUGUUUGUACUGAAGAGGAAAUUGAAGCCCGGAUAGGUUAAGGAACAUGCCCGAGGUCGUUCAGCUAGUCUCUGGGUGAGCUGGACCCUGAAGCCAGGUUUCCAGGCUUUGCCACUUCAUCCCAGUGGUGUCCCGUAGCUGUUGCCUUCCUAGAGCAGGCAGGAGAGGACUCAGGCAGUACCCCCUGAAUGAGUGCCUGGAUGCCAGUAAAGUCCUCUUCCCUUUGAUUUGUCUGAGCACUGUCUUCUCUGGAUUUCAAAGGGAUCCUCCCUAGUUUGGCGUUCUGGAAUUUGGUGCAUGGGUCCAGGUUCAUGCUCCCUCUUCACUGCGUUGUCUGCCAUUCACUGCACAGACGUGGGUUGUGUGAUUACUAUAUGCCUGGUACCAUGCUGGGCUCUGGGGACACAGAGAAGAAGGAGCCCACGUCCCUUCCCAGAGCUGCUCUCCGUCUAGGAGUUAGUCUCCUAAACAGAGACAUUCAGGCCUCAAGGAGCUAAACGCCAUAGACACCAUAGCUAGACAGAGCCGUAGACAGGGUGCCCAAAGACUUUAAUUAUGCCUUUCGUUUCUUUUCAGAUGAAGAAAGACUGAGUCUUUGAUGUUAUAACAUUUUUGUUACUAUUGGGAAAAUAAUCACUCUUUUUCUGUUAAUGAUUCAGUCACCUACAGGCUGUAGAUAAAGAGCACGGUGUUGUACUUGGGGGCAAAGCUGUAAUACGAAGAGCUGGCUGCUUUUCCCUGGCCGUGUGCCAGCGUGAUGUGCCGCACCGGGUCUGUUGAGGCCCUUGGGAAGGUAGAGGAGAUGGUUAGAACACUUUUCAGUUAUAUAUGUGAAGAAUUUUUAUUUCUCAGAGGAGCAGGGUAAGACACGAGCUGGUUGUCUUUCACAGUGCCCGCUGGGUUAGUGCUCACAAUGCCAGGUCAUUAGGCCGUUUCCUCCAUUGCUGCCUCUUCCUCUAUCCUCAAAAGCCUACUCCAAGGCCAGCAGUUGCAUACUGACUCCUCCUCAUUUCCCGCUCCCUGGGAUACGCUCAGGAAGCCACUGGGUAUAAACCUAUGGCAGGAAUCCCCAGGGCCUGUGGAGGAGUAGAGAGAUUGGGCAUCCCCUUCUUCUCUUUGACAUCUGAGUUCACUUCCAAGCUUUCCGAAGGAAAGGGAGGCGUCCCAAAACGCACACAAGUUCACAAAAAUGUAGAUGGCUACUGAGGAUUCCAAAGGGCCUGCUCAUAAGUAGCCAAAUUUAGAAAGCAGGGUCACCAUAUGUGUUCUGAAAAAUGAUUUAUGUGACACAAAUUUACUGUGUACUUGGAAUAUCUAAACACUGUGCAUAGGAUGCAAAGAUGAGUAAGAAAAUCACUCCUUCCCUCCUUCAUUCAUUCAACCAUGUGUUCCUACUAUUGUGUCAGACAUUGUGCUGAUCACUGAGAAUUCAAAAAUAAGAUGCUCUCUCUAGACUAUAGUGUUGACAAUCUAAUGAGGACAGAGACAGGCAAAUGAGUGACAGCGGUCCUGAGCUGCGGAUUUUUGCGGUAGGUGUGGGGUGCCUUGGGGGCCUCUAGAAGGAAACACCAUCUGUGGUCUGGGAGAAAGACAUGAGUAAGAACGAGAGACAAGCGUUCCAGUGCAGGAGCACUCCAGUGCUUCCGGCAGCCGCCCAAUCAAAGAGAAAGUCGUGACCUCGGCAAGCGAAGUGUAGAAGUUCUCACCUUGACAAAGGUUGAGUUACCUUCAAGUUUCCAAAGCAUUCUCCAGCAAUUCCCUCCAGACAGCAGUUGAGCUAUGAACCUGGAAUUUAUUUGGUGGGGAUUUUCCCUCUCAAAAAUGCAACCGAACAUCCACAGAAGAAAGAUCAGCUUUUAAUAAAAGAAGCACAUUGUGCUAUUUGGUAAGUGAUGGGGGCAGGUGUAUGUGUGUGACUAUGUGUGUUUGUAGUGCACCUGUGUGCAAAGAAUUUUAAUUUCCCGAAGGAGCUGGAUAAAAUGCCUUUAAAGUCUCAUUCAACUGGGACAUUUUUUUUUUUGAAACCAGGGAAAAGCCAGUGCUGUGAUCUUCAAGGUGGGCUGAAGGAGCAUCUUCCCACUCCCAGUCCUUGGAGCCUGGGGUCACUCUUUACGUGGGAUACUGCCGCCCCGUGGCAGGAUACGUCCCUGCGCAUCGUAGCAUCAGUGGUUCAUAAGGAUUUCCAGUUUGCUGCCUGAGUAUUCCAAACGGAUUGCAUUCAGAGCUUCCCCUGACAGCCGGAUCUGGCUUUAAUUUUGAUAAAGUAAGUUUCAAAGGCUUGAGGGGGAGAAAGAGAGGAGUGGAAGAGACUGUUCUAUUGAGUGUCUGUUGACCCAUUAAAUACACGAGACAAGAGCUAAUCUUGUUCUACCUAGAGAACGAGUCCCUUCCUUUUCACUUUUCUGGCACAUUUAGCCCAGUCAAGAGCUAAUUAAAGUCCUUCCCAUUUCUUAAGGCUGCCUGUCUUCUGUGCAGUGCAUCCUGUCGUGCUUAUCUGCUUGGCUUCCAACUGCAGCUGGAUACAAAGAGGUCAUAGAUUACCUCCCACUCUUUGGAUGUGUCAGCUACUGUAUCUACAGGCCUUCUCACUGAGCGCUAACAACUGUGCCCAAGAUGUUUCUCGCUAUCUCAGAUCAGAUCCUUUGCUCAGCAAUGAGAGUGAGUGCUAUGCUGGGUUGGGUAAAACAUGGAGAGGCCACUAUAAAUGUCCCAAAGGAAGUGGCUACAAAUCACCACCCCAAUAUGUAGGUGGCGUGUUAGGAAAUUUUGACUGCAAGAAGCAAUUUUUUCUUAAAUUAUCUCAAGUCAUUCAUUCUUACAACAAUAUUUCUUAAGCACCUACUACGUACAAGUCACUGAGCUGGGGAAAGUUUUUUUGAAGGGGCCACAUGGCAGUAAGGGGUCAGGAGUCACAUGGGAGCUCCCAAACAGUCCUAAGGGGGGGCCUCGUGGAAAGUGGCAGUCAGGAUUCAUGAGUGAUCCCGAGAUGGGGGUAUCCGGCCACCCCCAAGGCUGUAGAAAAAAAUCAAGCCUCUGCCAUUAUGGUGAUUCAUUUGAUCCAUUUUUCUGCUCUUCCUGCUGCCAUACCUGCCUCCAUCCUUACCUACAGUUUCUGCUCACCCAUAACUACUGCUCACUCACAUCUUCUGCCCAUUCUGGGGUCUCAUGGCCCCUGCUACUUAAUGGCCUCUGCUUGCCUGCCUCCUUUGGGUGUCUUUUCAGUUUCUUCAUGUGCUACCAAGUGACUUCCUCCUUCCCUGUGUCUCCAGUUGGAUCCCUAAGCUGGAAAACUGAUGGUUUCAGCUAAGAUGUGUGUUCCCGCUGGGGCAAAGAUUUCACACAAGGCCAUGACAUAGGCUGCUGGUCAACCUUUGGGGCAGGAGAAAACGCAGGGGUAUGUCUGAGAAAGUCUGAUGCAAGAACUAAUGGGUAAAUUUUAUUCUGAGUUGGAGUUAUCCAUUCUCCAGAUGAAAAGGUAGGGGAAGAAUUCUCAAGAAAAGGGUUGGCAUGUGUAAAGUCUUCAAGUGGGAUGGAGUUUGGAACAGCCCGAGAGCUUGAAGCUGACUGGUGUGUCAGGAACGUGACAAGCAAGCAGGAGAUGAGGCUAGAGAGGUGGGCAGGGCUGGCACUAGGAUAGAGGGGGAACACAUGAGGACGGCAGGCAGAUGGCCAGUGCUGCUUAGGGAUCACACACUCUACUGACGGGUCACCAAGACCAGGAGUGGACAAUCUACAGCCCGUGGGCCAAACCUAGCCCACCGCCUGUUUUUGUACAAACCAAGCACCAUUUUUAUAUGUUUAAAUUUUUGAAAAAAAUCAAUAGAAGAAUACUAUUUCAUGAUGUCAAAUUUAUAUGCAAUUCAAAUUUCACUGUCCAUAAAUAAAAAGUUUUAUUGGAAUUUACCAACCGUCCCAAUUUGCCCAGACUACCUCAGUUUAGCACUGAAAGUCUUAGAGCCUGGAAAAGCCCUCAGUCCCAGGCAAAUGGGGAUGUUGGUCACCUGGCACACAGCCAGGCUCAUCUAUUUCCAUAUUGUCUACAGCUGUGUUCACGCUCCGACGGCAGAGUUGAGUAGUUAUGACAGAGGCCAUAGGGCCUGCAAAGCCUGAAAUAUUUACUAUCUGGCCAUUUAUAGAAAAGUUUGCUGAUUCUUGAUUAAGACCAAAGAAGAGUAAAUAAUUUAUCUGAUAAGUUAUCUAAUAUAACUGAUUGUUGUUGUCACAAGAGUGUUGACCCUGCCUAUUUAUUUUCUCCAUUGGAACCUGAUUCAUUUUUAAAACCUAAAUUAGAUCAUGUCACUCUGCUGCUCAAGAGCCUUCAAUGGCUCCCCAUCCCACUGGGAAUAAAACCUAAGGAUCACUUACAUCCUUCUCAAACAGACUUCAUCUCCUGCUCUUCCAUGCCAUGCCCACUCCCUUGCUGAUUCUCAAACAAGCCAAGUGCCCUCCUGCCUCCGGACCUUUGCACUUGCUGUUCCCUCCCUCUAGACCCUUUCUCCCAGAUAUAUGCAUACCUCGCUCCUUCACAUCAUUCUGUUCCUAUUCAAAGUCGUCUUUUCAGUGAAGCCUUCCCCCUCAUUUAGCAUUCUCCAUCUCCAGACAUCACUUAUCCAUUUGUUGAUUUUCUGUGUCCACACUAGAAGGCCAGACACUUGAGGACAGGGACGUUGCUGUAUCCCCAGCUCACAGAACAGUGCCAAUCACAUGGUGGGUUUGUGACAAUUAUUUAUUGGAUAAAUAAAAGGUUGGUAAAGUCCAAGAAUUUUAUGCACGUGUCCAGGGCCAUGUCCCAACUCAUUGGACCAUAUUACUGCUAAUCAAUAUUUCAUUUUAGCCAACAUCCAUCCUGUUACAAUUAUGUGGCUGCCUGUGUCUGUCGCCCACUGGCUUCUUUUCCUGCCAAACACUUUGUGUUUAAUCAUCUGAACAUCUGCUCCGUAGAAAUCUCAUGCCAGAUGCCGACCUGCGACACUGCUGCUUCUCCUGUCCUGAGAAUGGACGCAUUAAUCCCGAGUCCAGGGGUGGGAUCAGGGUGAUUCUUCAAUCCCCCGACACUGACAAUGACAUGUGAUGCACAUAUGCAGUUUUCUAGGGAGUGGGUGCAGAGCUGUCGUCUGAUCCUCACGAGGGCCCUCGAUCCCCAGAAGGCUGAGGAGCUGAUUGUACCAGCAACAAGCUCUCCAGUCUGAUGAGUUACAGGCCCUCCUGUGGGGUGUCUUCUGCUCUCCAAUGUAUGAUGAUUGAUGCUUGUGUUCUUGGUACUCAGCUGGUGUCAGUGGCAUCCUCCCUCUGCCUUUCUGGAAUGUUCCUCCCUUCUGCUACAUCUGAAAACUUGUUAACAAACCAGCGGGCUCCUGUGUGGCCAUCCAGCCCCCCAGUGUCUGUUCCACACAGCCAUUUUCUUCAAGAGCCGCUGGCCCCAGGUUCCAGCAGGAUGGCUGAAAAUGCUCUUCUUUGUGACCGUGAGGCCUGACCUAUGUCAUCUGUCAAGUGUCUGUGCUGUGGGAUUCGUUUCCUGCCAAGGGUUCCCUGCUCAUUUCCCAGAGGAACUGAGCCGAGGCCGCCCGGCUGCGGGAGCAGAGCCUCAGGGUUCCCGAGGGGCCCUUUGACGCCGAGGGGACAGAGGUCAUGUCCUUUCUAAGUGUAGCUUGCGGGGAGGACCCUCGGUCUCUAUUUUCUCAGUUUUGAGAGGAUUUUCAUUUCCAGGAGGAGAAUCAUUCCAAGAAACUCUUCUGCACAGACAGCUGCUAUCCCCCCCCCGUCUGAGGCCAGGAGGGGGCGCCAGCUCUGCUCAGCGCCUGCCUGGUGCACUCAGGCCUGUCCUGAGAUUGACCAUCUAUCAUUGUUUAUUAAUAUUAUCACCAUCAUCUUAAGAAUUCCCAGCCUUUUUGGCCCUGGGGAAAGCUGAGGUCCAGCCCACGUGGACGGUUGUGGGUUACAGACUCAUGAACACGAGCUAACCGGGCACUGCCGGGCAGAGGGCAGAGUGUCCCCUACCUUCUCAGUGAGGCCGUAGAAGGGCAGGUGCCCUCAGGGUCUCUCGACUCAGCACUACUGACAUUUUGGGCCGCAGAAUUCUUGGUUCUUGGUGACCGUCCUGAGCAGUGUGGGAUGUUCGGCAGCAUCCCUGGCCUCUACCCGCUAGAUGCCAGUAGCAUCCUCCCUGUUGUGACAACCAAAAAUGGCUGCAGACGUUGACAAAUAUCCUCUGGGGGGCAAAGUGGCCCCCAGUUGAGACCCACCACUCUAUGCAGCUGCUUCUUGACUGGGACUUCAGAACGAGAGGUAGAAAUGACAGGAGGCUCAGGGGGGUUGGCGAGACAAAUCUCGCUAAGUCAAAUAACGCCAACUGUUCCAGAAAGCAAAGUGCGUUCGGGGGGUGAAGGAGAGAGAGACAAGGGCAGAGUUUGGCGUAAAGCUGGAGAACACGCGGAGGACUUGACCGAAGCUGGUGGAGGGAGGGGUGGUCUCCAGAGAGCAGGCGUGAGCUUGGGAGGGACGUCUUCAGGUCACGAGGCCACGCGGGGCCCCUGCCUGCACUGGCUUCAGCUGUGACCAACCCCAGGUCAUCCCCAUCUUGAGCAGAGGCCCAACCUGCGUGAAGCCACCCGCCUUCCUUCGUGCAGGAAAGUACUUGCUGAGUACCCCCCAUGUGCUAGGUCCUGAGCACAGAGAGAGAAAACACAGUUCUGUCUUUAGGAGGAUAGAGAUUUAACGAGGUAACCGCACCCAAGCAGGACGAGACAGAACUACCAGAGGCUCUGAAGGGAUAGACUUGGGGGCUCAAAGAAGACUUCCUGGAGGAGGUGACAUCUAAGUGGAAACUUGGAAGACAAGUGGAAGUUUUGCAGACAAAAGAGGAGCGUAGAGUCCUGACAUAAGCUUCUAGGGUGGUACUGCCUAAAAGUCCUUUAAAAGGGAACAAGCGUCUGCUCUGCUUUUAAUAGAGGGUCAAGAGUAGCGCAAACCAAAGAGCUCUCAGGGCCCAAGGGGUGGCAGAGCAGCAAGAGGGCACAAAAGGAAGAGGGCAGAGACAAAAGAAAACACACCUGGUUACAGCUGUCCUGACCUGCAGCAUCAGCAGCGUCCACAUGGCCUGGGAGCUUGCUAGAAAUGCAAGUUCUCUGGCCCAGCCCAGACUCAUGAAAGAAACUCCAGGUGGGGCCGGCAACCUGUGUUUGAACAGGGCCCUCCAGGUGAUGCUGACGAACCUCUGGGCUACAGGCCCGUCCUCUGUGCUGCUCAUUAGUGUUUAAUGAGUGAGCAACGGAGGGAAUCAGUCAACCAAUUACUCCUGCCUUGGAAAAGACAGCAGCAGAGUCUUCCCCACCUAGGCUGCACAUUAGGGUCACCCUGAGAGCUUUAAAAAUCCCGCUGCCCAGGCCAUGCCCCAGGCCAAUUACCUAAGAAUCUUGGGGCGGG
ensembl:lncRNA